CACGCAGAGCCUGCAAUAUUCAUUUCACAGGCACCUUUGCCUUUAAGAUCCCUUCCCCUCCACUCUGCGUUAAAACUCAACAACAACAACAAAAAACAAACGGCAAGGAUCUCAAACCCCAGCCACAUAUAUAUCACUUGGGUAGAAGCCUGGGACCUGCCUUAGACAACGCACUCAACUUCUGGAGUUGCUCCAUCCCUUUGACCGGAACAGUUAUACACUAGUGUAAAAUGUCUGGUGUUCCUGCCUACUCUGCAGAUAUCAGCAGCUCCGCCAAACUGAAGGUAUUCUGAACACAUUGCAGAGCAUCCAAACUGAGUGCGGAGAAUGGAUGUUCUAAAAAGCAUUGGAAGGCUGGUGCCAUAAAGGACUACCAAAGACUCAGUCUUAAGAGCUUAAACGGACUGAGUUGUUACAGAGCAGAACCAAAGGGAUGGCGGCAGAUGCUGAGUUGUGAGGCAGUGGGAGAGCCC